UACGGGGGGGGGCAAGCGUUGUUCGGAAUUACUGGGCGUAAAGGGCUCGUAGGCGGCCAACUAAGUCGGAUGUGAAAUCCCUCAGCUUAACUGGGGAACUGCGUCCGAUACUGGAUGGCUUGGAUUUGGGAGAGGGAUGCGGAAUUCCAGGUGUAGCGGUGAAAUGCGUAGAUAUCUGGAGGAACACCGGUGGCGAAGGCGGCAUCCUGGACCAAUAUUGACGCUGAGGUGCGAAAGCGUGGGGAGCAAACAGGG
rnacentral:rRNA from 1 species